CAAUAGCGUAUAUUAAAGUUGUUGCAGUUAAAAAGCUCGUAGUUGGAUUUCUGGUGGGAGCACGGGUCGGCCCUCACGGGUUGUACUGUUGUUGCGUCCUGCCGUUUCGGAGGGAAUGGUCUCGCUAUUAGGUUAGUGGGGUCGGGAACUCUGUCGUUUACUGUGAAAAAAUUAGAGUGUUCAAAGCAGGCCUUCGCUGUGAAUACAUUAGCAUGGAAUAAUAAGAUAGGACUAUGGUGCUAUUUUGUUGGUUUGCGUACUAUGGUAAUGAUUAAUAGGGAUAGUUGGGGGUAUUCAUAUUCAAUUGUCAGAGGUGAAAUUCUUGGAUUUAUGGAAGAUGAACUACUGCGAAAGCAUUUACCAAGGAUGUUUUCAUUAA
rnacentral:rRNA from 1 species